AUUUUGGACCGUAUGACUGUGUUUCGGAUGGCACGUUAAACUGUAGGUCCCGGCUGUCAUUGAACAUCCUGGGCAGUCGUUACGGGUAGUCAGAAGCCAGUAAGUCUGACACCAGUCUAACCAAGGGGUAUCGGGUUGCCCGGGUAAGGAGGUCAGACAGGCAGUCGCUUCUUGUAAAGCACUGGUACUCAGCUGAAUCCGGUUAGACUGGAACCCGACCUCAACAUAGUUGGGAAAAAGGUUCGGAGGAUGAGAAUGAAUCUAACCUAUUUUGUUUAUGAUGUAAUACUGUCAACAAGGAAAAUUUAUUUUAAAAAAUAAAUUGCACUGACAAACGUUUUUUUCUCUAUUCAAACGCCACCCGAGGUGUUCUAAACAAUGUCGUUUGAUCAAAAGGGUAGUACAAUCAAAUCGCUUGCGUGAUACACACUAUAUAAAAAGACCCAAAAAAACUUUAAUCUUUUAAAAACUCUUUAAAAAACAGUGACUUUCCACAACGUUUUGGGUCUAAUCGACCGACUUGUUUUUUAGGCCUUUUUAAGUACUCUUUACACCCCAUAGAAAAUGUGUUGCGGACCGUGCGGGGGCUGCUGUGGCGGCUGCUGCGGUGGAUGCUGUUGUCCCUGCAUCACCAUCUAUACUUGCUGCACGAAGAUUUGCUAGUGGCACCGAGUGACACCCAUUCGCGCAGACAAGCCAUGGUGUCUGCGUCGAUGAUGGUGUACCGACGCCUUCGAUGUUUUUGUCUUCGAAGUACACUCCGUGCCGUUUUGUGGAAAUAAACUACUAUAAAUAAGCGUA